CUAAUGGCUGUCACCUGGACGUGGUGAGGGGGCCCAGUACCAUCAUGUUCACAAAGGCUCAGUUUCUGGGGCCGUGGACACGGGGGAAGCUAAGAACAGCCUGAAAUCUCGUGAUGUAAUUAAUAGAGAACGGUGACCCCGAGGUUUUGGUUGUCUUUUUAUCUCGAUGUUUUUGAGAGCAUAUUUGGGAAAAAGUAUUUCGUUAAUAUUUCUGAAAUGUGAACGACCAAAAUUUUUGAUUUUUCUUGUCUCUUAUUUGGAUAUUUUAGUCUUGACGGAUCUAGAUUUUUCGCCGGUUCCACUAUUGGGCUGUUACGGUUGUUUUGAUUUGGAACUUGUUUUUCUGAUAAGGACUUUCUUAAUCCUAAUAAUUCUUCAAUUGGUUCUUCAUUGUUUUGUUUUUAUAUGGACUUCUUUUCUAAAAAUCUUUUAAUCAGUUUUCGUAAUUCUUGAAUCUGAUUUUUUUUCUUAUCGAUUUUCAUCAUAUUUGCUUGCAAUGUUGACCCGAUAUCUUUCUAACAUUUCUGUAAAUGCAGAUGGACCUAGAAAUUACGUGUUUCACCUUUAAUAUUUUGUCCUGCUGUUAUUUUUGUCAUGAAAUUUAAAAAAUGUCACAGGUUGUUCAAAAUGGUAUAAUCUUUCAAUAAGGAAUUUUUACAUUAGUCACAUGCUCUUAGGUUUGUUGAGUCAUAUCUAAUUGUGGAUGAAUUAAAAUGUGGUUGAAUUUAUUAUUUCAUCUAAAAUUUUAAUUCCACUGUUUGCUGUUUAGUUUAUUUUGGAAUUUUGGGUAUGUAUCUAAGUAUUAAGAGAAAUGUGUCUUGUCUGAUUAGUAUUUUAACUUACGAGGAUUUUUCUUAACAUGUAUCUAGAUUUUUCCCUGAUUUUUAUAUUGAACUAUAAGGAUUAUUUAAAAUUAGAGCUAUUAUUUCUGAUAAGAUCCUUACAAUUUCUAAUAAUUCUUCAAUUGGAUUUUUGUUUUGAAAUAUAGAAUCAAAGUCUAAAAUGGCACAAUAUUCUAAUAAAGUGUUAAUCUGGACUUCAGAAGAGGCGGCUGCACUUGUGUUUAAUGUUUCUUUUUUGUAAACAAUAUCAUCGAAUUCUUCCAGGAUUUUUAUUUCUUAUUUCCACAUUUUCAUUUGCUCUUCUCAUUACUUUCAGUUAUUUUUUUUAACCGCAUUUCUUCAAUAAGAACAUCUUUUGGCAAGAUACUUGUUUACAUUCUUCUUACAAAUUCCACCUGAUUGAAUUUGACUAUUAUCUGUGGAUUUUUUUGCUUUUUUAAUUAAUUUUUCUUUCGUUCUUUUCUUUGAUUAACGUUCUGUAGUCCUUAGCCAUAACUUCUUUAAGAGUGUAUUAUCAUUUUCUGCAGCCCAAGUCGCUCAAUUUUUAUUUUAUAUUCUUUCAGAAAACGUCUUUAUCCAUUUUCCGUCUUGCCAGAGUUUCUUUAUAAUAAUCUGCACUGUAUUACAGUAUAAUACCAAAAGUCUCGAUUAGGUUCUGCUUUUAUGUUGAUUUCUUUGGUUCAGCAUUAAAUCUUUUAAACGGUCUUUACAGAAUUUUCCACUGCUUGUACGAAUGUGUCGUUUCACCUUGUACGAUUGUAGGAAAUGUUCCGUUAAUUUUAAGUUGAGAAUGUUCCGUUAUCAGCAAGUGUUGUUACUUAAUCAACCUUCUAACUUAUUUACGGCCAUUUGGAGAAAAGGUGAAUGUAAGAAACAUUGGUUUUCGUAUUUAUUCUAUGUGGGAUUUUUCAUAAUGUUCUCAUGAUCUCAUUUCUUGCUUGGCUUUUUCUUAACAUACCUCAAAGUACCCUAUACAAUUUGUCUGGUAUUUGUGCUCGAAAUUUGGUUGUUAUUAUAAAUCACCCUACAUUAAUUUUUUUUUCAAUUUUUUUUUCAAAAUACAGUUUAGGAAAAACUUCUACCCUAUUUCGCCAUUUGUCUCUCGUCAACUUGUCGAUUUUUCUCAACAUAUUGUCUCUUUUUGUAGUUAAACCCGAUAAGAAAUUGCUCAAUUUUCCAACCUGUUAAGGAUUUGUGCCCCCAUAAAUAAUGUUGAAACUUCUUCACUCUAUAGUAUACAUAGUUUCCCUCCAAUCCGUCGAGUAAUUUUUCUCUGUUGCUAUCUUGUUUUUCGAUCAUAUUAUUUAAAUCCAUUGACAUUCCGUCGUUUGUAGAAUCAUUUGGUUAUUAAGAUGGAUAGUUUUAUGAGGUUAAAGUGGGGUAAACAGCAGUGAAAUCAACAAUUUUUUUUAUUUUCUUAAAUGUUUCGUCACAUUUGCUAUUCUUAAUUAUUUUUGCAUUUUUUUAGUAAGUGAGUGAUGGGUUUGAGUAAUAAAGCAGAUGAGUGUUAGCUCAAUUUCAGUUUCUUUUCAGUGAAGUUUUGGUUUAGUUCAAUUUCAGUUUAGUUUAGUGUUAGUUGCAGUUCAGUUUCAAUUCAAUUUUAAUUAACACUGUGGUGACGUGAACAAUAGGAAAUAAGUGUUUACUGAUAGAAAUAGUGUCUCUAGAAAGUGCUUUAGGCUUCGAAAAAGUGUGUGCACAUUACAAAAUUAGAAGAACCAGACUUAUCAUUUGCUCAGCUUGAAUAAUAGUACGUACGUCAGAUAGUACGAAGUACGUCAACUGUCGUCGCACAUUUGGACUACAGAAUCACCAUACAGAAAUUCACCAAGCAAUGCUUCAGGAAAGAGAUGUUUGUUAUAAUGAAGAGGCGGCUGAUCAACGUUGCCUCUUGGUUUUUCUAUGAUUUUAUUUGCGGAAAAAUACUGCUUCAGCUUUCUCUGGUAAAUUAUCUAGACAUGCAAGUUGCAAAGGUUGAAUCACGGGGUCCCUUUUUAGAAAUUAUCAAGCUCCAGGAACCCUUUAUUUGAAGUCAAUUUUAAUCCCAAGGAUGGACUCGUGGUGACAAUUGAGGAGUUCAAAACCAGUUCAGUUCAGUUUCAGUUUCGAUUCAGUUCAGUUCACUUCACUUCACUUCACUUCACUUCAGUUACAGUUUCAGUUUUGUUCCAGUUUAGUUUUAGUUCAGUUAAUAAUACAGUGGUUCAGUGAUACGUGAACAGUGAGUUGUGCUUAGUGUCUCUAGUCGGAAAUAGUGUUUGAGAUAAGUGUGUACAGACAGAAAUAGUGUCUCGGGAGAAGUGAAAAGUGCUUGGGGCCUCGAAAAAUGUAUGGGAAAUUUUAAGAAGGACGAGACUUAUCUAUUGCUCAAUUUAAAUGUUAGCUAACCCUAGAUGGUACCACAAGUAUCGUCGCAAAUUUAGACUGCAAAUAGACCUGCCACAGAGAAAUUCCAUUGAACGAGUCAACAGUCGACGUGCCAUCAAAAACCUCUGGUUCCGGAGGAGACUAUUAGUGGCUAUUUAUUCUCUCUGUUGUCCUUUUAACCUUCAAGUAUGAGAUGGCCCUUUUCUUGACAUUUAGCAAGCGGAUUUAUUUGCGACGACUUUCCAACAACAACCCAACGAAUUGUUGGUACCUCUAAGCACACUUUUGUCAGAGAGUUCGUCCAUCAACGCGUCAUCAUAGAGUUCAUAGAGGUACUAAAGAUAUUACAAGUACGAGUCAACUUUCUGUCACAAUAGGAUCUCCAGUCAAGUACGACUCAAUGGAUUAUUCAACCGGAUACGUAAUUGCUUAGGACAAUGUACUCGUACAUUAUUCUGAUUAACAAUGAAGAUGGAAGUUUUCGACGAUAUAUGGAAGCAAGAAAACCGAACAAGUAACACCGUUCCUGGAAACUGUGGAAAUACAAAAUCUACAAAAAAGCGUUUUACUCGUACUUUCGCUUUAGAACUUGAGGAAUAUUUUUUUAUGAAACUUGACUUACCAGCAGCACAAUUUCUGGUUCUAUCACCGGUUGGGUCAAUCGAAAUUAUACUCAAGUACAAGUAAUGGAAACAUUGGCAAGAAAGAUACUACCGUUAAAACACCACAUCAUGGAACUUUGACUUGAUCACUGGAUUUGUCUGAAAGUUUUUCUUUUAUCCUUUCCUGUGCACUUGACAAAUUGAUAGCCGAUAAAUAAUUAUUUGGGAGGACUCUUUCAACGACAACCUAACGAAUCUUAUCUCGUAAACCUUUUGCCAAGAAAAAGUCCGUCCACAUAAGGCUGACAAAGGUAUCCAAAGAGAUUACAAAUGAACUUUCUACCAUGUUUAUGCUUAUGCAGUGGGAUAUUUUAACCGGAUACAACAUUCUUUAGGACAAUUUACUCGAACUGUUCCAAUUAACGGUGAAGAUAGAAGUUUUUGACAAUUUUGUAGAAGCAAGAAAACCGAAUAAGUAACACGUUACAUGGAAACUCCGAAAACACAAAAUCUACAAGAAAGCGUUUUACUAUCGCUUAGAACUUGCAGAUGAACCAAUGAGGAACAAUUUUUUGACAAGACUCGUCUCACCAACAGCAAAAUUUAUGGUUCUAUCAUCGGUUGGAUCAUUAGAGAUUUACUCCAGAAAUGAAAAUAGUCUACAUCGAAGAAAUGUAAGAAAAAUUGUACCGUUAAAAGAUCACAUCAAAUAAAUCAAUGAAGAAUAUUUUUGUUGAAACUCGACUCAAGUAGCAAAAUUUAUAGUCCCUCAAAUAUCAUCACUUGGAUCAUUCUAAAACAUGGUUGAGUGAGGGAAGCAGUUUGUAUCGAAAAGACUUCAAGAAGGACAGAACUGCCUCAAAAACUUUUUAAUGAAUUUGCCUGAAAAUUUAUCUCAAAUAAAAUAACUCCAUUUUCAUUUGGACAUUUGGAUUAUAACAGCUUGCAGUGUAGUAAAGAUUUACCCAACUACAUUACGCACAUUAUGUAGUCAACAAUCUUUCAAACCCACAGACCAUUUGAAAUCAUUUUUCACUGUUGGUCACGUUUGCAAGUAAUCUAUCUGGUCAACUUUUUGGAGGUUGCUACAACGAUCUUCGAGGAAAAACUUCAAACUUAUUUGAUGUAAUGAAAAUCCAAAAUAUGUAACAAGAUUUUGAGGCUUUAUAUGUUACCUAUGUUUUUAAUGGGAUAUUGUCUUUUUUUUAAAUCUUAUUUUCACCAAUUGUAGCUGUUUGCAGAAUUUUAUCAUCAUUUCACAUUGAAAACAUAGAGAAAAAUGGUCAAUUGUAAGUAGUCGGUUGUGAAGCAGACUUAUUGUGUGAUUUCUCUGUUGAUUUGCCAACACAGGAAUAAUGCUAUAUUUUGUUAGUUUAUGUUGACUCAACUAUGAAAUCAUUAUUUAAUUAAUUAAAAAAUUAAAUUUCUAAUUUUGUAACAAUGAUUAUUAAGUAAGUUAAGGGUUUUAAAUGUUACCUAUGUUUUGAAUGAGAUACGAAUUUUAUUUUAUUCAAAAAUAACAGAUUUCAAAUUUGUCAUUAUUUCUGUCUUAUUCACAUUGAAAACAUAGUGAAUCCUUAAUAAAAAUUGUUAGUUUUAAGUAGACGAAUGUGAAGCAGAUUUAUUGUUACUGUUUGAUUUCUCUGUUUUACUAGCACAUCAAUAACAGUAAACCUGUUUAUAAUCAGUUGUAAAAAAAAAUUAUUUUGAAAAAAUAACAAAAAAAUAAUAUAAAACAAAAUAUACAAGAAAAAAAAUCAAAAAUACACUAAAAAAAUCAAAACAAAAAAUGUAAAACGAAAUGAAAAAAUGAAUACAAAAAAGUACAUUGGAAAAAUGAAAAAUUAAAAAAAACAAAAAGAACAAAAAUUAAAAGACAGAAAAUGAACAAAAAAAAAUAAAACAAAACAAAAAAAUUACAGUCAAAAUCUUACAAAUAAAAAAACUUCAGUUGCAAGGCAGUUUUUACAAACAUGUUAUUAAUUAAUUUUUGACAUGCAUUUUUACAAAAUUAAAAAAUCAUUUAAGACUAAACCAUUUUCUUUAGUUUUAUAAAAGCUGCUUUGGUUUUACACUAAUUCAAGUAAAAGUGUGAUCUUUGUAAAUUGUUUAAAUAAGUGGAAAUGUAAUGAAAUUUGGAAAACUUUUUUGAUUUUUGUUUUGCAUUUGGUUUACAAUUCACAGUGAAUUGACGUCUUGUUUUCCAAAUUUCAAUAGUAAUUUUGCUUUUGUUUUGAUAAUAUUGGUUAUUGUGCAAAUGAGCACAGUUUUGUGAACGCUUAACAGCUUAACAUUAUGUAAACUAGAAUAAGUAAUUGCUCCCGGUCUUAAAAUAAAUCACUUCAAUGUUGUCAGAUUUUUGGAGAAACGUAUUUAGUCUAAAAAUUUCUGACAAUAAUUUUUUAUGUAUUUGUUUCGUUUAUAUUUUAUUGUAUCUUUGUUCGUUGUUUAUAUUAACGUAUGGAUAUUUGUUAACGAAAUACGAGAAAAAAUUCUUUAUUGGACAUUUCAAAAUUUAAAUUCCAUAUUUUACGUACUUAUUUUAUAAAUUUAAAAUUAAUUAUAAUCAUUUAACAAUUGUUUUUCGUAUUUCAGUUCAAUGAUUUUUUAUGGUUUAUAAGAAUGUAAUAAGAAAUUGUAAAAUGUCGUAGUUUUGUAUUGUAAUACAUUAUAACUAUUAGUUACAUUUAAUGUGACCGGGAAAUGCUGAAUUGUCAGAUUUUUGGAAAUUUUAUUGGACUAAAAAUCAGCUGACACUCUAUGCUAUAGUAUUUAGAUUAAGUUGUGUUAAAUGUUUUGUUAUACUAGUGGAUUUUUGUAGUUGUAAGCUAAAUAAUCAAUGUACUACAAAAAUAAAGAUCAACGAAAUAUGAAAAACAUCUAAAGUCAAAUAAGUUAAUUUGAAGUUUACUAAAAUAGCAGUUUUUUAUUGUUUAUCGUUUUUUCUCUUUCGUUGUUUACAAAAAAAUUGUUACAUUCGGUUUACUUCAUGAAAACCAUUGUGGUGUCAAUAGCGUACUCUUAGCAUUAACUUUUAUAUGAGGUCAUGGUAACAGCUUAGUCAUUUGCACCACAAUGGUUUUUAUCAAAGUGAACCGUAAGUACUGUGGUUACUGUGUCAACUUUAACCAGUACUAUCAAAUUUGUUAAAUAGAUUUGUCUGCUAAGAAGGAA